rnacentral:rRNA from 1 species
UACGUAGGGUGCGAGCGUUGUCCGGAAUUAUUGGGCGUAAAGAGCUCGUAGGCGGUGUGUCGCGUCGGUCGUGAAAACUUGGGGCUUAACCCUGAGCUUGCGGUCGAUACGGGCAUCACUGGAGUUCGGCAGGGGAGACUGGAAUUCCUGGUGUAGCGGUGAAAUGCGCAGAUAUCAGGAGGAACACCGGUGGCGAAGGCGGUUCUCUGGGCCUUACCUGACGCUGAGGAGCGAAAGCGUGGGGAGCGAACAGG